AGAAAGUGAUUUCAAAAAACGAGAACUGGCUAAAACAACAAUUUUAGAAGAACAAACGCAAACGUUCCUCAAGGACAUUAAAGAGAUAUGUGCCAUGGAAAACAAUGAAGCUCCUACAGUGGACAGCAUCAUUGAAACGAAAGCCAUCACAAAAAAAAAAGAAACUGAAUUGAAAACACAGGAGCUGAUCAUAACAACAGCCUGUCAAGAGAGAGCACAGAAAUUUUACAAUGAAGUGAAAAAGAUAUUGGCCAUGGAAAAAAUUGAAGUGGAAAGUGGAACUGAAGAGGAAAAUGGUUUUGAUGAUUAUUCAAUUCUAUUAUCUCUCUGGAGAACCAGAGAAGCUGUAUAUAAGAAACAAAGACUGCAAUUCCAAACAGUUUUAGAAGAAAGAAGUCAGACAUUCUUCAAAGAAGUCAAAGAGUUAUGUGCUAUGAGGAGAGAAUUCAAUUCAAAGGUACUUUUUCUUUGCCAGUAA
rnacentral:lncRNA from 1 species